rnacentral:rRNA from 1 species
UACGUAGGGGGCAAGCGUUGUCCGGAAUUAUUGAGCGUAAAGAGCUCGUAGGCGGUUUGUCGCGUCUGCUGUGAAAACUCAGGGCUUAACCCUGAGCCUGCAGUGGGUACGGGCAGACUAGAGUGUGGUAGGGGAGAUCGGAAUUCCUGGUGUAGCGGUGGAAUGCGCAGAUAUCAGGAGGAACACCGGUGGCGAAGGCGGAUCUCUGGGCCAUAACUGACGCUGAGGAGCGAAAGCAUGGGGAGCGAACAGG